UACGUAGGGUGCGAGCGUUGCUCGGAAUCACUGGGCGUAAAGCGCACGUAGGCGGAUUGUUAAGUCAGGGGUGAAAUCCUGGAGCUCAACUCCAGAACUGCCUUUGAUACUGGCGAUCUUGAGUCCGGAAGAGGCGAGUGGAACUCCUGGUGUAGCGGUGGAAUGCGCAGAUAUCAGGAAGAACACCAACGGCGAAGGCAGCUCGCUGGGACGGUACUGACGCUGAGACGCGAAAGCGUGGGGAGCGAACAGG
rnacentral:rRNA from 1 species